GAAGGGCCGCAGUAUUCUGACUGUGCAAAGGUAGCAUAAUCAUUUGCCUUUUAAUUAAAGGCUAGUAUGAAUGGUUGAACGAAAUACAAACUGUCUCACUUUUAUAAUUAUAAUAAUUUAGCUUUCUAGUUAAAAGGCUUGAAUAUUAUUAGAGGACGAGAAGACCCUAUAGAACUUUAUAUAAUUUUAUUUAAAUAUUUAUAGUAAAAUAAUUUUAUUUAUUUAUCUUUAUAUUUUGUUGGGGUGACAGGAAAAUUAAUAAAACUUUUUUAACAUAAAACCAUUAAUUUAUGAAUAUUUGAUCCAUUAUUAUUGAUUAUUAGAAUAAGUUACCUUAGGGAUAACAGCGUAAUUUUGUUGGAGAGUUCAUAUCUAUAACAAAGUUUGCGACCUCGAUGUUGAAUUAAAGAAAUUUUAGAGUGCAGAAG
rnacentral:rRNA from 1 species